UACGGGGGGGGCAAGCGUUGUUCGGAAUUACUGGGCGUAAAGGGCUCGUAGGCGGCCAACUAAGUCAAACGUGAAAUCCCUCGGCUUAACCGGGGAACUGCGUCUGAUACUGGAUGGCUUGAAUCCGGGAGAGGGAUGCGGAAUUCCAGGUGUAGCGGUGAAAUGCGUAGAUAUCUGGAGGAACACCGGUGGCGAAGGCGGCAUCCUGGACCGGCAUUGACGCUAAGGAGCGAAAGCCAGGGGAGCAAACGGG
rnacentral:rRNA from 1 species